AACGAACGCUGGCGGCGUGCUUAACACAUGCAAGUCGAACGGAUCAAGGGGCUUGCUCCUUGAUUAGUGGCGCACGGGUGAGUAACGCGUGGAUAAUCUGCCCGACGAUCUGGGAUAACAUCUCGAAAGGGGUGCUAAUACCGGAUAAGCCCACGGGGUCUUCGGAUCUUGCGGGAAAAGAGGGGGACCUUCGGGCCUCUUGUCGUCGGAUGAGUCCGCGUACCAUUAGCUAGUUGGCGGGGUAAAGGCCCACCAAGGCUACGAUGGUUAGCUGGUCUGAGAGGAUGAUCAGCCACACUGGAACUGAGACACGGUCCAGACUCCUACGGGAGGCAGCAGUGGGGAAUUUUGCGCAAUGGGGGAAACCCUGACGCAGCAACGCCGCGUGAGUGAUGAAGGCCUUCGGGUCGUAAAGCUCUGUCUAGAGGAAAGAAGUGUGGGGUGGCUAAUAUCCACUUCACUUGACGGUACCUCUGAAGGAAGGCACCGGCUAACUCCGUGCCAGCAGCCGCGGUAAUACGGAGGGUGCGAGCGUUGUUCGGAUUUAUUGGGCGUAAAGCGCGUGUAGGCGGUUUCUUAAGUCUGAUGUGAAAGCCCCGGGCUCAACCUGGGAAGUGCAUUGGAUACUGGGAGACUUGAAUACGGGAGAGGGUAGUGGAAUUCCUAGUGUAGGAGUGAAAUCCGUAGAUAUUAGGAGGAACACCGGUGGCGAAGGCGGCUACCUGGACCGAUAUUGACGCUGAGACGCGAAAGCGUGGGUAGCAAACAGGAUUAGAUACCCUGGUAGUCCACGCCGUAAACGAUGAGAACUAGGUGUUGCGGGUAUUGACCCCUGCAGUGCCGCAGCUAACGCAUUAAGUUCUCCGCCUGGGAAGUACGGUCGCAAGACUAA
rnacentral:rRNA from 1 species